AUUGAACGCUGGCGGCAGGCUUAACACAUGCAAGUCGAGCGAGCGGCGGACGGGUGAGUAAUGUCUGGGAAACUGCCUGAUGGAGGGGGAUCACUACUGGAAACGGUAGCUAAUACCGCAUACCAUCAGAUGUACCCAGCUGGGAUUAGCUAGGAGGUGGGGUAAUGGCUCACCUAGGGGAAGAUCCCUAGCGGAUCUGAGAGGAGGACCAGCCACACGGGAACUGCGACACGGUCCGUACUCCUACGGAGGGCAGCAGUGGGGAAUAUUGCACAAGGGGCGCAAGCCUGAUGCAGCCAUGCCGCGUGUUGGAAGAAGGCCUUCGGGGUGUAAAGCACUUUCAGCGAGGAGGCGUUACUCGCAGAAGAAGCACCGGCUAACUCCGUGCCAGCCGCCGCGGUAAUAC
rnacentral:rRNA from 1 species